CGGGACGUAGCGCAGUCUGGUAGCGCGUUCGCUUGGGGUGCGAGAGGCCGUGAGUUCGAAUCUCGCCGUCCCGACCA
rnacentral:tRNA from 1 species